GGCGAAAGCCUGAUGCAGCGACGCCGCGUGAGGGAUGACGGCCUUCGGGUUGUAAACCUCUUUCAGCAGGGAAGAAGCGCAAGUGACGGUACCUGCAGAAGAAGCGCCGGCUAACUACGUGCCAGCAGCCGCGGUAAUACGUAGGGCGCAAGCGUUGUCCGGAAUUAUUGGGCGUAAAGAGCUCGUAGGCGGCUUGUCACGUCGGGUGUGAAAGCCCGGGGCUUAACCCCGGGUCUGCAUUCGAUACGGGCUAGCUAGAGUGUGGUAGGGGAGAUCGGAAUUCCUGGUGUAGCGGUGAAAUGCGCAGAUAUCAGGAGGAACACCGGUGGCGAAGGCGGAUCUCUGGGCCAUUACUGACGCUGAGGAGCGAAAGCGUGGGGAGCGAACAGGAUUAGAUACCCUGGUAGUCCACGCCGUAAACGGUGGGAACUAGGUGUUGGCGACAUUCCACGUCGUCGGUGCCGCAGCUAACGCAUUAAGUUCCCCGCCUGGGGAGUACGGCCGCAAGGCUAAAACUCAAAGGAAUUGACGGUA
rnacentral:rRNA from 1 species